CCAAGCUAGGGGUCGAAUCGUAGCUGCAGCUGCCAGCCCACACCACAGCCAUAGCAACACCAGAUCUGAGCCCUGUCUGCCACCUACACCACAGUCGGGUGGAUACUAGUCGGGUUGGUUACUGCUGAGCCACAACGGGAGCUCCUAUGCUUGCUGAGCCAUCCAGGUCCGUCCUCUCUCUUUUGCUCUGUGGAGGGAACAACAUACUCUGGCGGAGGAGGUCCCAGAGGGGUGAGGAUUCUCUCGUGGCCACUUAUGUCCAUGGAAGGAAACGGGUUCACAGGUCCGUACUUUGACUCGCACUGUGCUGCUUCUGCUGGCCUGCCUGCUGAUCAACAGGACGGACAGCCAGCCCGAAAGGAACGUAGACCAUGACCUACAGGUGAUGAUGGAGAUGAUGACAAACCUGAGGAAUAGUCCCCGGAGCUGGGCUGUGGUUCCAGAGUGCUGCAUCCCUAGUUCUUCCUAGAAUUACACCUAAGGAGUGUUUCAAAAGAAGGAAGCCCCCAAAUGACCUGCUAAAUUCUAAACUGGGAAUUAUGUGCUGUGGGAGGGGGAAAAGAGGACGAGAGGGAAGCACACGGUAAGGCAGGAUAGAGGUAGUUCAACCAGGCAGCAAAUACUCGGGGCCUGAUUCUAAGCAGAGUCCAGGGUGCAGUGGUGAGAAGGAGUCACUGUGAUUUGCAGAGCAAGGGGUCUGAUGGAGAAGACAGAUGUGUCACAAAGUUGGAGGUUAUGCUUGGGGGAAACUCAGUGCCAAAUGCAGCCUGGGGGAAGGAGAGGAAGGGUUCCAUGGAGAAGGCAGCUCUUGAGAUGAGGUUUUUUGUUGUUGUUGUUUUUAAGAUUUUUGUUUUUUCUAUUAUAGUUGAUUUACAAUGUUCUGUCAAUUUCUGGUGUACGCAAAGGGACCCAUCAUAGAGAGAUGGAUAGAUGGUUAGAUAGAUAGACAGAUACAUUCUUUCUCUCACAUUAUAUUCCAUCAUAUUCCAUCGCAAGUGACUAGAUAUAGUUCCCUGUGCUGUGCAGCAGGGUCUCAUUGCUCAUCUGCUCCAAAUGCAAAUGAGAUGAGUUUUGAAAGAUACAUUAAUGACCUGAAGAAGUGUGGGGAAGGACGGUCGGGAGAACGAGGAUGUGACAAGCAAAGAGGACAACGAGGCAUCAGGCUGCAUGCCGUGUCAGUAGCCUGUGCUGUAGGAGGAUUAGAGCACACUGAAGAAGAGAGAAAAGAUUGAGUUAAGAAAGACAUGGAGUCGAUAUAUGAGAUUCCUAGGGUUGCCUGAGCUGAUUGCUGCCACCUUUGUGUCUUGAAACAACAGAAGUCCAUUCUCUCCCAUCUCUGGAAGCGGGAAGUCCAGAAUUGAACGUGUGGGGAGGGCUGAGCUCCUGUGAAGCCUGUGCAGGAGGAUCCUGUCUAACUUCUUUCAGCUUUUGGUGUUUGCCAACAGUCCUGGGUGUUUCCUGGCCAUUAGACGCAUUACUCCAACGCCCUUCUCCUUUUUUUUUUUUUUUUUUCUCUUUUUCUUUUAAGGCCGUGCCUGUGGCAUAUAGAAGUUCCUGGGCUGGGGGCUGAAUCAGAGCUGCCGCUGAGACCCACACCACAGCCACAGCAAUGUGGGAUCUGAGCCUCGACUACAACCUACACCCCAGCGUGCAGCAACACCAGGUCCUUAACCCACUGAGCGAGGCCAGGGAUGGAACCCAUAUCCUCACGGACACAGUGUCGGGUUCUUACCCCGCUGAGCCACAAUGGGAACACCCUCCUUCUCCUUUCGUAUUUCUGUUUCUGUGUCUCUUCUUUUAGGGACCCCUGUCAUACUGGACACCCUACUCCACUAGGACUUGAUCUAAACUAGUAACAUCUAGAGCAACCCUAUUUCCAGAUGAGGCCACAGUCUGAGGUGCUGGAAGUUGAGCGGUCAGCAUAUAAUUUUGGAGAAACAUCAUUCAACCUCAACAGUGUCCACAAAAGGAUGUUAAGUUUCUCUUUUCUCCUGGGAGUUGCUUGUAGGAAGGCCACUUCUUACCCCACCUUUUCACCAAUUAUAUUAUUAUUAUUGUUAUUAUUUUUUUUACAGCAUUUGGUGGAAAAAUGAACAAACUUUGAUAUAAUGAAUUUAAAAAAAGAACACUAAAUAUGAAAAUAGCUCUAGUAGCCCUUAUUAAGUAAACAGUUGGUAGCAUUUUUUUCUAAGAUGCUAUUUUAUUUUAAAAUUUUUUCUUAAAUUUUUUUUUUAUUGCUCUUUGCCCAAUGCAAUUUUUUUUUCUACUGUACAACAUGGUGACCCAGUUACACAUAUAUGGAUACAUUCUUUUUUCUCACAUUAUUAUGCUCCAUCAUAAGCGACUAGACAUAGUUCCCAGAGCUACACAGCAGGAUCUCAUUGCUAAUCCAUUCCAAAGGCAAUAGUCUGUAUCUAUUAACCCCCAGCUCCUCAACCACCCCAUUCCCUCCCCCUCCCCCGGGCAACCACAAGUCUAUUCUCCAAGUCCAUGAUUUUCUUUUCUGUGGAAAGGUUCAUUUGUGUCCUGUAUUAGAUUCCAGAUAUAAGUGAUACCAUAUGGUAUUUGUCUUUCUCUUUCUGACUUAACUUCACUCAGGAUGAGAGUCUCUAGUUCCAUCCAUGUUGCUGCAAAUGGCAUUAUUUUGAUCUUUUCUAAUGGCUGAGUAGUAUUCCAUUGUGUAUAUAUAUCACAUCUUCCUAACGCAAUCAAAUGUCAAUGGACAUUUGCAUUGUUUCCAUGCACCUGCAUAUUCAUUGCAGCAUUAUUCACAAUAACUAAGAUGCUAUUUUAGAACCUACCUUUGGGGAGUUAUUGUAAAGGAGCAAGAAGUAGUUAGGCCUUUAGCGGAGCCUUAGCUGGGGGCAAAAUGAACAACACCUCUCUCCAAACCCCCAAAACCCUGGACACACCCUUCCCUAGAUCAUUGUACCCUAUAAAAGCAUAAAGGAACUGAAGCACUGGAGAAAACCGUAGGGCCUCUGGCCCACACAGUCUUAUUUAAAAGGUUGUGUUUGGGAGUUCCCUUUGUGGCUCAGUGGAAACAACCCAGCUGGUAUCCAUGAGGACUUGGAUUCCAUCCCUGACCUCGCUGAGUGGGUUAAGGAUCCAGCAUUGCUAUGAGCUGCUUUGUAUAGGUUGCAGCAGCUACAUUGCUGUGUCUGAGGAUUGCAGCUCCAAUUUGACACCUAGCCUGGGAACUUCAUAUGCUGCAGGUGCGGCCCUAAAAAAACAAAAAACAAAAAACAAAAA
ensembl:lncRNA